rfam:Glycine max cultivar Williams 82 chromosome 6, whole genome shotgun sequence.
UUCUUAUUGGAUAACGACAGUCACGUGUCAUGUUCUCAUUGGAUGUCAACUCCAUAAAAGAUAAAAUGCAUUAUUGUUUCCAUUUAUUAAUCAAAAUAUGACACGUGACAGUCGUCAUCU